CGCUGUCACUCCUACGGGAGGCAGCAGUAGGGAAUAUUGCACAAUGGGCGCAAGCCUGAUGCAGCCAUGCCGCGUGUGUGAAGAAGGCCUUCGGGUUGUAAAGCACUUUCAGUUGUGAGGAAGGUGGUGUCGUUAAUAGCGGCAUCAUUUGACGUUAGCAACAGAAGAAGCACCGGCUAACUCCGUGCCAGCAGCCGCGGUAAUACGGAGGGUGCGAGCGUUAAUCGGAAUUACUGGGCGUAAAGCGCAUGCAGGUGGUUUGUUAAGUCAGAUGUGAAAGCCCCGGGGCUCAACCUCGGAAUUGCAUUUGAAACUGGCAGACUAGAGUACUGUAGAGGGGGUAGAAUUUCAGGUGUAGCGGUGAAAUGCGUAGAGAUCUGAAGGAAUACCGGUGGCGAAGGCGGCCCCCUGGACAGAUACUGACACUCAGAUGCGAAAGCGUGGGGAGCAAACAGGAUUAGAUACCCUGGUAG
rnacentral:rRNA from 1 species